GAGGAGGAAGGGAUGCGGCUCAAGUGAAUUCUGCUCGUCUUUCCUUCCCUACCUUCAGCGGCAAGCAUGGACAGAGCUUCAGUUUCCUUGUCAGCAAAAUGAGGAUCACAUGAGGAGACAAGCAAAAUGCUUUGUAGAUCAUAAAGCCAGUUCCAAGAUGAGAAAACUGCGGCACAAAAGAGACUGUGGUACUUGUCCAAGGUCACAUAGCUGGUAGAGGUGGAACCCGGACCGAUCAUAAAUCGUAAGCACCCAUGUCCUGAGCCACCACCUCUGCAACCAGUGGGGAAUCACUGUUUUAGCAGAACUCUAAUGGGAGCGUUGGGCCCAUUAGACCUUCUGAAAUCAGCACAAAUUUGACUACUCCAGAAAGCCUCCUAUCUGAUAUGAUUCCAGUCACAUAUUUAUUGCCCGAUGUUCCCUUGACAGUAAAAUAAUGAGUUUAGUCUCAAUAUGUUUGUUGUUAACGUGUUGACAAAUUGCUUUGUAAAAAUGAGUUUUAAGAGUUUCGUAUGUAUCUUUAAAAAAUUAGUUAACAUACAUGAAGAUAUGAAUCAUGUCUUUAAAAAAAAAUCCCUCCUCCCCACAAUCUUGUGCACAAAUUUAUAGGUGAAAUAAAACACAUGUAGGUAAACACACAUAGACACAGACACAUAUCACAGAUGUAGAUACACAUGAAGAGAACAUACCUAUAGGGGUAAACACACCCACAGCCUUCUACAUUAUCUGCUAACGUGAACAUGCAUGCAUUUGUACACACAAGCCUAAACAUGGAAGAGAGAAAGAGAGAAAGACACGAGCCCUAAAAUUCAUCCCUAAAGUCCACCUAUUAGUACUUUACCCAAUUUCCCAGCUAUGCACAU